rnacentral:rRNA from 1 species
UACGUAGGGUGCAAGCGUUGUCCGGAAUUAUUGGGCGUAAAGAGCGCGUAGGCGGUCCGAUAAGUCGGCUGUGAAAGUCAGGGGCUCAACCCUUGGAAGCCGGCCGAUACUGUCGGACUAGAGUCCGGAAGAGGCAAGUGGAAUUCCCGGUGUAGCGGUGAAAUGCGCAGAUAUCGGGAGGAACACCAAUGGCGAAGGCAGCUUGCUGGGACGGUACUGACGCUGAGGCGCGAAAGCGUGGGGAGCAAACAGG